AGAGUUUGAUCCUGGCUCAGGAUGAACGCUAGCUACAGGCUUAACACAUGCAAGUCGAGGGGCAGCAUGGUCUUAGCUUGCUAAGGCCGAUGGCGACCGGCGCACGGGUGAGUAACACGUAUCCAACCUGCCGUCUACUCUUGGACAGCCUUCUGAAAGGAAGAUUAAUACAAGAUGGCAUCAUGAGUCCGCAUGUUCACAUGAUUAAAGGUAUUCCGGUAGACGAUGGGGAUGCGUUCCAUUAGAUAGUAGGCGGGGUAACGGCCCACCUAGUCUUCGAUGGAUAGGGGUUCUGAGAGGAAGGUCCCCCACAUUGGAACUGAGACACGGUCCAAACUCCUACGGGAGGCAGCAGUGAGGAAUAUUGGUCAAUGGACGAGAGUCUGAACCAGCCAAGUAGCGUGAAGGAUGACUGCCCUAUGGGUUGUAAACUUCUUUUAUAAAGGAAUAAAGUCGGGUAUGGAUACCCGUUUGCAUGUACUUUAUGAAUAAGGAUCGGCUAACUCCGUGCCAGCAGCCGCGGUAAUACGGAGGAUCCGAGCGUUAUCCGGAUUUAUUGGGUUUAAAGGGAGCGUAGAUGGAUGUUUAAGUCAGUUGUGAAAGUUUGCGGCUCAACCGUAAAAUUGCAGUUGAUACUGGAUAUCUUGAGUGCAGUUGAGGCAGGCGGAAUUCGUGGUGUAGCGGUGAAAUGCUUAGAUAUCACGAAGAACUCCGAUUGCGAAGGCAGCCUGCUAAGCUGCAACUGACAUUGAGGCUCGAAAGUGUGGGUAUCAAACAGGAUUAGAUACCCUGGUAGUCCACACGGUAAACGAUGAAUACUCGCUGUUUGCGAUAUACUGCAAGCGGCCAAGCGAAAGCGUUAAGUAUUCCACCUGGGGAGUACGCCGGCAACGGU
rnacentral:rRNA from 1 species